GGGUUGUGAGGUUAAGCGACUAAGCGUACACGGUGGAUGCCCUGGUAGUCAGAGGCGAUGAAGGACGUGCUAAUCUGCGAUAAGCGUCGGUAAGGUGAUAUGAACCGUUAUAACCGGCGAUUUCCGAAUGGGGAAACCCAGUGUGAUUCGUCACACUAUUAUUAACUGAAUCCAUAGGUUAAUGAGGCGAACCGGGGGAACUGAAACAUCUAAGUACCCCGAGGAAAAGAAAUCAACCGAGAUUCCCCCAGUAGCGGCGAGCGAACGGGGAGCAGCCCAGAGCCUGAAUCAGUGUGUGUGUUAGUGGAAGCGUCUGGAAAGGCGUGCGAUACAGGG
rnacentral:rRNA from 1 species